rnacentral:rRNA from 1 species
UGACCUCAGAUCAGACG